GUGUUCAAAACAUUUGUAGGUGGUAUCAUGUUUUCCCAGGAGCUUUCACCUUUUUACCAGUUAAAGAGGGGUCUGAUCACUUAGUUUGCAGUCUUGGUAAUGUGUUUACUUUAUUCCUCCCACAAGGUGCAUUACUGCAGUGUUUCCAGAUGACUACCCAGCACACUCUCUUGGGUCUAUUGCACUGAUAGGACCUGAACUCUAAUUUUUGUCUGCUCACCAGAAAGAAAGCAAAAAUCUCACUCUAAUUUUCAGAACACUUUUUGUUUAGCUUUAUUAUUAUUAUUAUUAUACUUUAAGUUAUGGGGUACAUGUGCAGAACGUGCAGGUUUGUUCCAUUGAGGAAAAUACAUAU
rnacentral:lncRNA from 1 species